rnacentral:rRNA from 1 species
UCCCCCUGGACGAAGACUGACGCUCAGGUGCGAAAGCGUGGGGAGCAAACAGGAUUAGAUACCCUGGUAGUCCACGCCGUAAACGAUGUCGACUUGGAGGUUGUGCCCUUGAGGCGUGGCUUCCGGAGCUAACGCGUUAAGUCGACCGCCUGGGGAGUACGGCCGCAAGGUUAAAACUCAAAUGAAUUGACGGGGGCCCGCACAAGCGGUGGAGCAUGUGGUUUAAUUCGAUGCAACGCGAAGAACCUUACCUGGUCUUGACAUCCACAGAACUUUCCAGAGAUGGAAAGGUGCCUUCGGGAACUGUGAGACAGGUGCUGCAUGGCUGUCGUCAGCUCGUGUUGUGAAAUGUUGGGUUAAGAAUGCACCCAUGAUU